UGCCAGAGUGGGAAGUCAUGACACUUUCUCCUGACUUCCUAGGAAGCACCCAGAGGCUGCCAUGCUCAUGCACAGAAGCCGCACAGAAGCCGCUGUGCACCAGCCCCUCCUGGAGGGCGAGGCUUUGCUCCCAUCAUUUACUGCCAGGGCGGGGCCCGCUGGGAUUCCUGGUUCCACUGGGGAGCUGAGUGACACUGAGGCCUUAAGCUCCCCCAGUCUUGCCCCCAAACGCAGUCACCAGCAAGCUCUCCACAUCCAAGUCCAAGGGCACUAUUGUUGAUGACCAUGGUGACGAGAGCAAAGCCCUGGGGAGUGAACAGUCCCAGCUCUGCAUUCAGUUAAGCACUCUUCACAUGGACAAUGUCCUUGAUCUGUCACUGUCUUUUAAGUGGCUUUUAUUUUGCACAAAUACAUCUUUAUUCAAAACAAAGAAUAAAAGUUAGCUUUAUUUAUGGUAGCUUUAUCCCAUAGCUUCUCUCCCUCCCUCCCUCUCUAAUCUGGGUGUCCGAAUUCUGAGAAGGAAACCCUGAAAGGGUUUUCUGAAUUCCUGGGUCUUUGUUGCUGUCAUGGUUUCCGAGCUCACACUGAUCAGACAUCAAACCACCCUUAAGAGUUUCUGGGCAAGAUGCUUCAAAGCAACAUCUUCACCAGGAAAGUGUGAUAGGUGAAUUUUAAAACUACCAAAGGACCCACCACUGUAUUUUGAUCAAACGGUGACAACUUUCCUGAAAAUUCCAAUGAAUUGGUGAGGAAAGUAGUUGCCGUCAGGGUCUUAUUUUAUGGUCGAGGCUUAAUGUGCUCAGCAACUAACCCUCCAAAGGAGCAAAGCCUAGAAUACUUUUGUGCCAGGAGAAGCUCCAGGUGAUAUAGUUGGUGCCAUCCAAUCUUGGCCGUGAGUGCUCUGCACACCCAUGCACAGCUGGGGGGCCAGAUGCUUGCACCCAGUUCACACCAAUGACUACUCAAAUGGGCAUCCAGAGGCCGAAGGAAAACACCAAACACUCCCAACACCUCUCACCAGAACCACUCAGUGUUAACGCUUUAACCUACACUGAUCUGAUUCUACCUGUUAAUAUUUUUUGAAGUCUUAAGUUUGGAGGAUAGCGCAAGACUGGAAAAUCAGCUACUUAUUUUCCUUGGGUUUCUCCACUUCUCAACUGUCCUGGCUCUUCUCGCAUGAAAUACUAUAGAUGCCAAUCCAAGAACCUCAGAAUUUCAAGCUCCCUUCAGUCAGCGCAUUUUCUGCCCUUUACACAUUUUUCUUAUCUUUCGCAAAAAUUUUCUUCUGAGCUGAAUUUGAGAUAGCACAAUUGCAAUUCUUUUCAAAAUGCAAAAUGUUUAGUCUUCUCACUGAUUGAGACUGAUCCCACAUCCCCUCCUAGAAACAUUCUUAGCUUGGACUCUUGAAGAAUCUGCUUAGACCUUGUUGGCAAAGGCCUUUAGAGCUGGUAAGAACCUCGAAUGUACCGGAAGGGUCCUGGAGACAGGCCGAAAGAUGCUGGGCUCUCCCAGCCAGGACGGGGGGCCAGGCAUUUAAGUGCUGAUUAUCUUCCCGCCAUUGGUUUGUCCCUCAAACAGCGGGUGAGGAGGCCCUCAGGCUGGCACAGAGGAGGCCAGGUACAAACCCUAAAAGGGAGAAGUCCAUGGGUGGAUCCUCACCCUGGAGGGAAGCAUUUCUGGUUUUUGCGCUUUGACUGUCCAUAAUGCACCAAUGUUUGUGAAACCAUCAAAGGUGAUACGUCUUGCAUGCAUAUGCUGGUGGUUGGUUUUUCGUUUUUUGUUUUUUUUUUUUCUUUUGAGCAAACAGAUAAUGGUGCCCCAAAAUGAAAAUUAUAGAAUGCUGUCUACAAAAUCGUGGAAUAGGUAGUUGGUAUCAUUAUGAUGCCCCAAGAGCCUCAUGCACCUCUCCCUGGGAAUAAUUUUUGCCCCUCUCAGUUGGAACAUGUUUUAUAACUCAAGGUCAGCCAAAUGCAUUCUGACAACUGAAAUGCUUCAUGGAGGAUUGAUUCAGUGGGGAGCAGUAGAAAUAGUGUUCUGAGUGUGCCAGUGAGAGAGUGCAGCCCCCCUUUCCUUCCCUGAAGACACCCAUUCAUCACCCUGUCUCGCCAUGGAACCUAAACAGGAAGAUACUUGAAGCCAUUCUGUUUAGGAAAGAACCCACUCUCUCUUGCCAACUGAAUUUAUAAAGUAUUUUUUUUCCUUACCAAGAUGGCCAGUAUUUCUUUCAUGAUCUUCCUCUGCCACCUGCGAGCCCAAGACAUGUAUCUUUUAGGAUACCAUUUUACAAGUGGAAAACGACCCAUGAAAAUGGGAAGCCUUUCGCAAGCGGGUCUGAUUUCAUUCCACAGGCUUUACCCAGGAUAUACUGUAAAUGGCUGAGGACAAGCAGAGCUGAUCCUUGCCCUCAUGGAGCUGACCACACUCAACGAACAAAUAAUCCUCACCAUGGCAUCUCCUCCGGCAAGACCCUGCCUCUCUCCUAACACUGGGUAGAAACCCUGUGCACAUUCCUCCGGAAACGUUUCAAAACACUCCCCAGACUGAAUAGCCUCUUGAUCGGUGAGUUCAGUUGCAAGGAGAACUAGAUGCAGUCGCUGUCUUAGAGGCUGGUUGUCGCAGAACACCCAGGCACAGAGCUUUGGUCGGGCAUGCUGCGGAGGACUCUGAGAUGGAAUGAGAGAGUAGGGUCAGAAUGUUCACAGUAUUUACUCCAGAGGCUUUUUUAGUUUUAAUUUCAGUGUUAAAUGCAAGUACAGCAUGAGCGAGAGCUACAUUUUCAUGGGUGUUGAGAACUUGUACCAUGGACCACCUCAGAGUCCUGUGCUGCACAAGGGUGGGUACACUGGGGGCAGCCCCCAAAUCCCUGUUUGCAGCAGCAACGGGAAGGAUCAUCUGUCCGUUCUAUAAUCGUUCUUCUCUUUACCUAUUUCUGAACGACUGUGACCAUUCAGUAAUGAAAUAUUAGUAAUUAAUUUAUUAGUAUGGUAUAAUCUUUAAUAAAUUUCGUGCCAAAAUGCAUGGUUUUUCACUUAGCAUUCAAAAUGUUGCGUAGAGAGUAGUUUUCAAUUUCUUAUGUAUUCCUCAAAGUAAGUUGAAAAUCAGUUUCUACAUUUUAAUUUGUUUCUUGUUAAAUCUGUUGCACUCUCCUGGGCUGUCUUUUUUUUCCAGCAGACCCCCCCCCCCCCGCAUGCAGUUGUGUGAGGACUUUCUCUAAUUCUUGUGAAUUGUCUCACCCACAAUAACCACUGAACAUCAGCCCUCAGUGGGAUUCUUUAGAUUUUUGGUGAAGUAUUUUGUUACCUCAGUCUUGUAUCAAGUUGCUGUAUUUUUCAGCUUGUUACACUGAUAAUUGUUUCACUAAUUAAAUACUUUAAUGUACAAACAUCUUUGUUUACUUUGAAAUUAAAUGUGUUUUCCAAUGAA